AUUGAACGCUGGCGGCAUGCCUUACACAUGCAAGUCGAACGGUAACGGGCCUUCGGGUGCCGACGAGUGGCGAACGGGUGAGUAAUGCAUCGGAACGUACCUUUCAGUGGGGGAUAACGUAGCGAAAGUUACGCUAAUACCGCAUAUUCUGUGAGCAGGAAAGCAGGGGAUCGCAAGACCUUGCGCUGAUUGAGCGGCCGAUGUCAGAUUAGCUAGUUGGUGAGGUAAAGGCUCACCAAGGCGACGAUCUGUAGCGGGUCUGAGAGGAUGAUCCGCCACACUGGGACUGAGACACGGCCCAGACUCCUACGGGAGGCAGCAGUGGGGAAUUUUGGACAAUGGGGGAAACCCUGAUCCAGCCAUGCCGCGUGCAGGAUGAAGGCCUUCGGGUUGUAAACUGCUUUUGUACGGAACGAAAAGGUCUUUUCUAAUAAAGAAGGCCCAUGACGGUACCGUAAGAAUAAGCACCGGCUAACUACGUG
rnacentral:rRNA from 1 species